GGGAAAUGAUGAUUUCUUUUACACUUGGUUCGUGUUUCUGAAUAAUUGAUGUUAUUGAAGUACUGAUCCC